AACCCUAGCCGCCGGCUAUCUCUCCUUCUCUCUCUCGUCCCAAAAAUGGUACAAUCACAGAGCAAGUAUAAUCUACACAGCUUUUACAGCAUCAUUUGCGUGAAACAAGUUAAUUCCAAGACUUGUUUCGCCUAGAUCUUUUCAAAAUCGGUAAUAGACCCUUUUUUCUUUUGCUUUUUCUUUGAAAUUAUCUAGUAAAAGUUGAUUAUUACUAUCUUAUUUUGUUAUAUUGUGUUCAUUUUAAUCGAUUUCCAUUGGUUGGGGGUAAAUGGUUUGGAUUGAGUCGAAUAAAGCUCAGAUCUGGCCAUUCAUUUGUUGUUAAGUCAUUUUGAGCCAUAGAUUUGCUUUGCAAGGUUAUUUUCUGGGAAGGAUCAGUUGUCCCACAUCGGUAUUUUGAGGGUUUGAACAAUUUUUGAUGUUCUAUAAAUAAAACCCCACCCUCACCGUGAAGAAAUAAGGUCUGAAAAAUUGGAAAAAACUAAAAGAGGCUAGAAACUUCGAAUUCAGGCCUCUCAGUAUAAAAUUUUUAAAACUUUGACUUAAAUUGAUGUUUUUCUUAGUUCUAAAAAAUUGUUUCUUACUUGUUUUGAGUUUGUUGUGGCUGAGUGUGGGUUUUGGAAGCACAAAAGGCUUUCAAGUUCAAUCUUGACCACGACUGCACUUUAAAAAGACUUACAAGCUUGGACGAAUAAGCGUAGCUUAUAAGCGGUCGAACAGGUACACCCAGAUGAGUAGAAGACAAUAUGAAAGAUGUUCCAGCGGCGUUGGCAAGCUCCACUUGCUCCUGGAGUGCUGCCGAGUCAGAGUAUAUGUGUUAUGAUUUCUGAUUAAUGUUAGAGACUUUGCAGACAGAGUCAUGGGUAUUGGAAGUCAGUCUGUAAGCGGCUCCAUCAGCCGGUGUGUCAUUUUGUGUUAUGUUAUAAAGUCCAUGUGGUUACAGAUUUUAUUUGAUUAAAGAAAGAUGAA